CCUACGGGGGGCAGCAGUGGGGAAUAUUGGGCAAUGGGCGCAAGCCUGACCCAGCAACGCCGCGUGAAGGAAGAAGGCUUUCGGGUUGUAAACUUCUUUUCUUAGGGACGAAGAACGUGCCGGUCCCUCAGUACUACGCCACGGCUAACUACGUGCCAGCCGCCGCGGUAAUACGUAGGGUGCGAGCGUUAAUCGGAAUUACUGGGCGUAAAGCGCUCGUAGGCGGUAUGUCACGUCCAGGGUGAAAUCCCCGCGCUCAACGUGGGAACUGCCUUUGAAACUGGCAAACUGGAGUGUGUGAGAGGAGAGUGGAAUUCCAGGUGUAGGAGUGAAAUCCGUAGAUAUCGGGAGGAACAGCAGUGGCGAAGGCGACUAUCUGGAACAUAACUGACGCUGAGGAGCGAAAGCGUGGGUAGCAAACAGGAUUAGAUACCCGAGUAGUC
rnacentral:rRNA from 1 species